AGUGAACGCUGGCGGCAGGCCUAACACAUGCAAGUCGAACGGUAACAGGAAGCAGCUUGCUGCUUUGCUGACGAGUGGCGGACGGGUGAGUAAUGUCUGGGAAACUGCCUUAUGGAGGGGGAUAACUACUGGAAACGGUAGCUAAUACCGCAUAACGUCGCAAGACCAAAGAGGGGGACCUUCUGGCCUCUUGCCAUCGGAUGUGCCCAGAUGGGAUUAGCUAGUAGGUGGGGUAACGGCUCACCUAGGCGACGAUCCCUAGCUGGUCUGAGAGGAUGACCAGCCACACUGGAACUGAGACACGGUCCAGACUCCUACGGGAGGCAGCAGUGGGGAAUAUUGCACAAUGGGCGCAAGCCUGAUGCAGCCAUGCCGCGUGUAUGAAGAAGGCCUUCGGGUUGUAAAGUACUUUCAGCGGGGAGGAAGGGAGUAAAGUUAAUACCUUUGCUCAUUGACGUUACCCGCAGAAGAAGCACCGGCUAACUCCGUG
rnacentral:rRNA from 1 species